UCCAUGGGCUGGAAGUGAUGGACUGGGAAGCACUGCACUGGCAAUGAUGGAGUGGGCAUCCAUGGGUUGGCCAUCAAUGGGCUGGCAGUGGUGGACUGGGAAUCAAUGGGCUGGCAGUGAUGGAGUGGGCAUCAAUGCAGUGGGCAUCAGAGGGCUGGCAGUGGUGGACUGGGAAGAACUGGGCUGGCAUCAAUGGGCUGGCAGUGGUGGACUGGGAAGAACUGGGCUGGCAUCAGUGGGCUGGAAGUGGUGGACUGGGAAGCACUGCACUGGCAAUGAUGGACUGGGCAUCCAUGGGUUGGCCAUCAAUGGGCUGGAAGUGGUGGACUGGGAAGAACUGGGCUGGCAUCAGUGGGCUGGCAGUGGUGGACUGGGAAGAACUGGGCUGGAAGAGAUGGAGUGGGCAUCCAUGGGCUGGCAGUGGUGAACUGGGAUGAACUGGGCUGGCAUCAAUGGGCUGGAAGUGAUGGAGUGGGAAGAACUGGGCUGGGAACUGAUGGAGUGGGCAUCCAUGGAGUGGGCAUCAAUGGG
rnacentral:lncRNA from 7 species